GAUGAACGCUCGCUACAGGCUUAACACAUGCAAGUCGCGGGGCAGCAUGGGGGUUGCUUGCAAUCCCCGAUGGCGACCGGCGCACGGGUGAGUAACGCGUAUCCAACCUGCCCUUCACCACGGGAUAACCCGGCGAAAGUCGGACUAAUACCGUAUGUUGUCCAUUGACGGCAUCCGAUUUGGACGAAAGGUUUGGCGGUGAAGGAUGGGGAUGCGUCCGAUUAGCUGGACGGCGGGGUGACGGCCCACCGUGGCGACGAUCGGUAGGGGUUCUGAGAGGAAGGUCCCCCACACUGGAACUGAGACACGGUCCAGACUCCUACGGGAGGCAGCAGUGAGGAAUAUUGGUCAAUGGGCGUAAGCCUGAACCAGCCAAGUAGCGUGCAGGAGGACGGCCCUAUGGGUUGUAAACUGCUUUUAUGCGGGGAUAAAGUGGCCAACGGGUGGGUUUUUGCAGGUACCGCAUGAAUAAGGACCGGCUAAUUCCGUG
rnacentral:rRNA from 1 species